GACGAACGCUGGCGGCGUGCUUAACACAUGCAAGUCGAACGGAAAGGCCCCUUUUGGGGUACUCGAGUGGCGAACGGGUGAGUAACACGUAAGUAACCUGCCCUUGACUUCGGUAGAACUUCAGGAAACUGGGGCGAAUACCGGAUAGGAAUCCUUGCUGCCUGCUGGGGGGUGGAAAGAUUGGGGGGUUUUGGAUGGACUCGCGGCUUAUCUGCUUGUUGGUGGGGUAGUGGCUUACCAAGGCUUUGACGGGUGGCCGGCCGGGGGGGGCGACCGGCCACAUUUGGACUGAGAUACGGCCCAGACUCCUACGGGAGGCAGGAGUGGGGAAUAUUGCACAAUGGGCGGAAGCCCGAUGCAGCAACGCCGCGGGCGGGAUGACGGCCUUCGGGUUGUAAACCGCUUUCAGCAGGGGCGAAGCUUGUGGUGACGGUACCUGCAGAAGAAGCACCGGCUAACUACGUG
rnacentral:rRNA from 1 species